rnacentral:lncRNA from 1 species
UAACUGUUUUAUGUAUGGGGGUGUUUGGCCUAGCUUUCCAGAAGUGAUUUUGGGCCAAAAAAAUCACUUUUGAGUUCAGUAGAGCGUUUGGAAACGACAGAUGAAAAAUCCUAUUUUGCUUUUUAGAAUCAGAAAAUUGAUUUUGAAGCCUCCAGAAUCAGAAACAGAAAAAAAGCUGCUUCUUCAAAACUGAUUCUGAUUUUGGACUCAGGUCUCAAAGUUUUAUUCGUAUAUUAGA